GUUUCACCAUGUUGGCCAGGCUGCUCUCGAACUCCUGGCCUCAACUGAUUCAUCUGCCUCAGCCUCCUAAAGUUUUGGGAUUACAGGCGUGAGCCACUGCGCCUGGCCUCAAUCAGGAGACUGUUGACACGAUCAUGAAUUUGGGGUCUCAGCCAAGGUCAGUGCAAUGGGGACGGCAGCAGCCGGCUGAGCAUCCAGGUGCAGACGGCACCUCACUCAUCAACGCCUGCUUCCCAUUUCCACCUCAGCAAGCUCCCCCCAGCCCUGGGUCUCUGCAGGGCGUCUCAGCCAGGGGCUGGCCCCUUCUUCCACAUAGGAGACCGUGCUGGGACCUGAGGCCCCCGGGGCCUCCUCCUGCUGCUCCACAGUGCCUCGGCAGCCCCAGGCACCCCUCGAAGUGCUUGUUAACGUCACAGCAAGUUGCUUUGAGACCGUCGGGUGGGGUCAUGUUCUGAAACAUUUUUGCCCCUGCAAUUAUUUUUUUUUCUUUAAAUAAAUUAUGUGGCUGAAGCAGCUGCCCACCUCGGGGUGAGUGAUGAUAACAGCAGAGAACAAAUGUGGCAAUUUGGAGCAUGGAGUUCCUAAACUGACCUUUAAAACUGAUGGCAAUUAUCAGUCUAAAAGGUUUCGCAACAGUCCGUCUCCUGAAGGAUUCAGAGCAUGUUACUCUUGCGGAUGCUUGGUUAGGAGCUGACGGAGACUGCCCAGCCCUGCCCUGCCCUAGACUCAACAAAGAUUCCCUGGCUGGUGUAAGAGGCAGGAGGGAAUGUCCCCCAGUGGUACCCCACCAGGCCCUGCUCCCCUCUUUGUGGACAGAAGGCCUCAGGGCCCCUCCACAGCUCCCUCGGGGUCCGUGAACACUGCUCUCAGCAACCCGACCCACACCCCUGCACCAAGUCAGCCCCCAGGCCCGGGGCUCUCCCUGGGCAGGAGGAGGGAGGGAGAAACCAGGAUGUGGCUGAGAAAAUCUGGACAGGAUUGAGUUUCUGUCAUCAGAAGGACCCCCAGGAUGGAAACAAGCCAAGUUGUUUUCUGCACCCCAAGCUAUAGUCACAAUGUUUUCAGGGUGUGGCUGGCCCCAGGAGAGUCCCUGUGACUCGAGUCUUCUGAUGGGGCAGUCCCUCUCAGGACAGGGCGUGGAGCAGGUGGACAGGCCCUGCUGGGGACAAGAAAGGAGUUGCACAUCACACAUUCUCCUGGCCCUUCAUGAGGAGGGACUUUCAGGGCCCCACAGGGCUCCUGCGAUCCCACAGAAACUUGGCCUUGGGAGAAGAGCGGAGGAGAGGGGGACGGGGGACCCUGCUCUGAAGCACUGGGGCAGGUGCGGGAAGGAGGCACUUGAGAGAGCAA
rnacentral:lncRNA from 10 species